CCGCAUUGGUUCCGAACUCGCAAACUGGGCUGGUCGGUAUAACCUCGAGUUCCAGACUUGCAGUUUCUUGGUUAAAAACAAAAACACAGAACGAACGAUUCCCGGCUUGUCAUCUCAAAGACGAUUAUAACAGUAUCGACAUAUCCGUUAUGCAAUGGAAGCCAUAACUUGGAGAGGGGCUGCCGGCGUGACGAUCAUGAUUUUCCUGACGUCGUGGUCGGUUUUCUAUCAACGAUAUAAGUCCUGGGACUCCAACCAUCGGGAUGUUCCAAAACCGAUGGUGUCCAAACUUCGCCUCAUCCAGCCACCAGUUCAACCAUGCCUCCUCAACCAGUCUCUCUUCUUCGACCAGACCACGUACCCAACCUACACGGAGGUUGUUGUCUUAAACAGGGACCGCCUGUAUCGCAAAGGAGACGUCCUUACCGUCAAGGUGGUAGCAAGAGAUAAAGAAGGAAGGUCGAAGACGUACGGAGGAGACUUUUUCCGUGCCAGACUGGUCAGCAGUGACCGUUCGCUACAGGCCAGUAGUGCCGGUCACGUCACUGACCACUGUAACGGUAUCUACACCGUGCAGUUCCCGCUCUACUGGGUAGGGAACGUUUAGAUAAAGAUCCAGCUUGUCCAUCCAAGCGAGGCAGUGAAGGUUCUACAGAGACUGCGACAAAUUCCGAACAAGAGAGUCUUCUACUGCAGAUUCGAGGACAAGUCCAAGUCCAAGUCAAAAUCUACACAGCAAUGCUUCAGCUCUAACAACCCCAGCCUACCACCCCACCGACAGUGCGAUUUCUCCAAACUAGAGGCAAACGGAACCUGGAUUUGUGAGAAACCGGAGAAACUACCGUGUUCCGCCAUCACAAAGUGCCAAUGGUACUUUAAGGGCAUAACAAGGGUACUGGGCUUCGUGUCUGAAGCGGAAAAGAAACUUUUCAAAAAGCCAUAUCUUGAGACGGAACUUGAAGUAGAUCCCAAGGAGCCCAUACGAGUCCUUGAGACAGAACUGCCCACACCAGAACACCUUCCAGCGUG